UCUCGCAUCGAUGAAUAACGCAGCGAAAUGCGAUAAGUAAUGUGAAUUGCAGAAUUCAGUGAAUCAUCGAAUCUUUGAACGCACCUUGCGCCCCUUGGCUAUUCCAAGGGGCAUGCCUGUUUGAGUAUCAUGAACACCUCAACUCUCAUGGUUUGCCAUGAUGAGCUUGGACUCUGGAGGUUUUGCUGGUCUCUGGUCAGCUCCUCUCAAAUGAAUCAGCUUGCCAGUAUCUGGUGGCGUCACAGGUGUGAUAACUAUCUACGCUUGGGGCUGUCUGCCAGGUAACCUCCAGUGAUGGGGGUUUUGUGGGGCCUAAAAACUGCCCCUCUUCUAAGGGAACGCUUUUUGAACGUUCGAUCUCAAAUCAGGUAGGACUACCCGCUGAACUUAAGCAUAUCAUAA
rnacentral:sRNA from 1 species